rnacentral:lncRNA from 1 species
GACCUGAUCUGCAGCUUCUGUCAGGCAGUAUUACCUAACGGAGUACAGGUUUCAGACUCACCUGGCUGCCUGACACUGCCAGGUUUCCCUUUAGAUGUAUUCGUUGGGUCUGACUGGUGUUACUGCUAGACUUGUCUUACCGUUUCAAGUAAGGGUUAGCCCUUCCUUGCAAGGGAAGGACACAUGCUAUAUGUCAGAAAGAGACAGCUAAGGCAGCCAGAUAACGUGACCAGCCUGCUGCCCUGCAGGCAGUUCUGUGGGCCCUGCUGAUAACAAGGCAGCUGCACUGAGGAUGAGAAGGUGUGGAUGUCUGCAGGGGAGCAUAGCUCCUGGGGCAGCCCCAUGCCACUCCAGAUUAAAGAAAUAUGGCUUAAAGGAAACCACUUGGAAACUUAUGAACCUUUACAAGACCGUCUUACUGAUGAUGGUGUCUAUCUGCAGUAGAUUUCUUUUCUUGUCACUCCAUGGCAUGAAGCUUCGGAUGUGCUUAUGAUCUCACUCUCAUCAGAACCACUGGCUUGGCUUGGAAGCCCGCAAGGACACUCCUUGGCUCUGUGCCACAAACAACAAUGCUAUCAAUCUCGUUCCAGACCUGUCUGGGUGAUACUUAUCAAAUAGUUCUUCGAAGAGUUCUUGCCUGUUCUAGGAUACGCAUCCACACCCCUGUGUGAGGCACCAAGACUGAGUACGGCUGGACCCACAUUGCUGCUGGUCCCGUUAACUCUAUUCAACUCUGUUUCAGAGACUGAUUUUAAACCCCCCGGGAUUGGCAUAAGCUUUUUCACUUAGGGGUUAUAUAGACCUACAAGGCUGUGCUGGUGCCAUUUUGCCAGAACUCGUGCUUGUUAAACAUUUUCCUGUAGAUCAAAUUCAAAGGGAUUCAAGAGUGCCAUUCAACCUUGCAGUAAUGGGCAAAGAAUAGGGAAAAAAAGAGAGACUGAAUGGAGGAUCUGAGUCUAAGGAGGAAACCGCUCAGUACAGGUCAAACAGAGAAUUGCUGCAUGUCCUGCAAAUAUUUGCUGUGAUGGUACAUGGGGGAGAUAUGAAAACAAUCUGAAAAUCUGAGGGAUUGCCAUCUUCAGAAGAAGGGGAAUCAGAGUGCAGGGUAAUUUUCACAGGAGGAAUGGAUCGGUUUUGUUCAAUAUGACUUUGAGGUCUGCUGCCUCUGAAACAGCUUCAGCCUGUGUGAGACUUGGGUGGCAGCAGCAGCAGGGAACUGCUCAGCUUCAGGAACGGCUGGGGCUGUUGUGUGACCCGAUGAAGAGGGUGAACGUAUUUAGUUCCCUGUGUGGCAGAAUGCCAUGUACUAAUGGAGAUAGAAGAUAGGUAUGUGGGAGGGAGCUCUGACUCAGUUAAUACACCGAAAUGUGAAGAAAUGGGAUUUGGGGUCAAAGUACAUCUCUUGCAAAUGGCUUGAUGCAGUCAGCGUGACAUGUAUUGCUGAACCUUUGUUCUCUGAUGUCACAAGUAUCAGAGUUUCCACGGUUUUCUAUUGGCUGCUGCUCCUGCUUUUGAAAUUUACUGCUUUGGACAUUCAGGGAUGUUUUUUUUUUUUUCAGCGUGCAAGUGGGUUAGCUGCAGGAGGGGAGUGUUGAUAGCACACAGCUGACCACACUUUGCUAAGAGCUUUAGAGCACUUGCAUUUAAGCUCUUGGCUACAGUGAUAGUUGGAAGAAAAAGGAUAAAAAUGGACAGCUCUCAUCUGUGAUUUUCUUUUUCUUCUAUUUUCCUCCCAUUUACUCCUUUUCUCUGUUAUAUAAAGCAGAACACCGACAUUUUCCCUUUAAAUUUAGACAGCAG